rnacentral:rRNA from 1 species
AUUGAACGCUAGCGGCAGGCUUAACACAUGCAAGUCGAGGGGUAUGGUUCUUCGGAACCAGAGACCGGCGCACGGGUGCGUAACGCGUAUGCAAUCUACCUUUUACAGAGGGAUAGCCCAGAGAAAUUUGGAUUAAUACCUCAUAGUAUAACAUGACCGCAUGGUCGAGUUAUUAAAGUCACAACGGUAAAAGAUGAGCA